rnacentral:misc_RNA from 1 species
GAUGAAGAACGUAGCGAAAUGCGAUAAGUAAUGUGAAUUGCAGAAUUCAGUGAAUCAUCGAAUCUUUGAACGCACAUUGCGCUCCCUGGUAUUCCGGGGAGCAUGCCUGUUCGAGCGUCAUUUCACCACUCAAGCCUCGCUUGGUAUUGGGCAACGCGGUCCGCCGCGUGCCUCAAAUCGACCGGCUGGGUCUUCUGUCCCCUAAGCGUUGUGGAAACUAUUCGCUAAAGGGUGUUCGGGAGGCUACGCCGUAAAACAACCCCAUUUCUAAGGUUGACCUCGGAUCAGGUAGGGAUACCCGCUGAACUUAAGCAUAUCAAUAAGCGGAGGA